rnacentral:tRNA from 1 species
GGCCCCAUAGCUCAGCUGGUAGAGCAACGGAUUGAAGCUCCGUGUGUCGCUGGUUCGAUCCCGGCUGGGGCCACCA